UACGUAGGGUGCAAGCGUUAAUCGGAAUUACUGGGCGUAAAGCGCGCGCAGGCGGCUUUGCAAGUCAGGGGUGAAAUCCCAGAGCUCAACUCUGGAAUUGCCUUUGAGACUGUGAGGCUUCGAGUACGGGAGAGGUGAGUGGAAUUCCCAGUGUAGAGGUGAAAUUCGUAGAUAUUGGGAAGAACACCGGUGGCGAAGGCGGCUCACUGGCCCGUUACUGACGCUCAGGCGCGACAGCGUGGGGAUCAAACAGG
rnacentral:rRNA from 1 species